rnacentral:tRNA from 1 species
CACCUCGAAGCUCAGUUGGCUAGAGCGUUGGCUGUACUAAAGCCUUCCCUUUGUUGGUGUGGGUUCGAAUCCCACUGAGGCCG